UUCUCUCCAGACACUGGAACCAGCCGUGUCCUCCUGCCACUGACCUGAGACUCUGGCUAACAGGGUCUUCACCUCUUCCCUUCUUCUUGGGGACCCAGCCCGGUAGACAAGAUGCUACUACUGGAAGCCCUCAUCUUCUCCUCCCUCUGGGCUUUUGGUCUUGGGCAGUUAACGCUGGAGCAGCCUGAAGUAUCAGUUUCCACAGUGGCUGGUAAGAGUGUCCAAAUAUCUUGCAAAGUGACAGUCGACGACUUUGAAAAUACAUAUAUGCACUGGUACCAGCAGAAACCAAAUCAGACUUUAAUACAUCUACUAUAUAUUCUCUCAACAACAAUUCCUAACCGAGUUACCUUACGUGGGAGGACCAACAAACUCGAGGCACGUAAAGAUCCUCGCACUUCCACUUCAAUCUUGAAAAUAAAUUUCGUGGAGAAAGAAGAUGAGGCCAUGUACUACUGUGCAGGCUUGACCAUUGAUACCUCAGGCUUGAUCAAGGUAUUUGGAGAAGGGACAAAGCUCAUAGUAAUGCCUCCCGGUAAAAGCCAGGGUGCAGACCUUUCCCCCAAACCCACUAUGUUUCUUCCCUCAAUUGCUGAAACAAAUAUUUAUAAGGCUGGGACAUAUCUUUGCCUUCUUGAGAAUUUUUUCCCUGACGUCAUUAGACUACAUUGGGAAGGUAAAAAUGGCAAGACAAUUCCAGAAUCCCAUGACGGAAAAACAGUGGAGACUAAUGACACGUACAUGAAAUUUAGCUGGCUGACCGUGAAUGGGGCAUCGAUGAAUGAAGAACACAAAUGUGUAGUCAAACAUGAGAACAAUAAAGGAGGAGUUGAUCAAGAGAUUAUUUUUCCUCCAAUAAAUAAAGUUGCCAUUCAUGAUAAUUCCACAGAAGCUUGCUUGAAAGAUAAAAGUGAUCUCCUGCAGCUGCAGCUCAUGAGCACCUCUGCAUAUUACACCUACCUCUUCCUCCUCCUCAAGAGCACGGUCUACUGUGCCAUUGUUGUGUUCUGCCUGAGGAGAAGAACCGAGUUCUGUGGUUGUGGAAAGAGUCUGUGAGAGAUGGAGGCAUGAAGGAGCUCCCUGCUCCUCACCUUUACUGUCCCUGAAGCUUUCUGCUGGGGAUCUAGCUGGAUUUUCUUGCUGGUUUUGGUAAUUUCAGUUCACAUGUGUGUUUUUCUAUUAUGUCAUUACUGCAUACUGGUGUCUUAAAGCACUGGGAAAACCAAGAGAACAGUACCCUGUAAUAACAGAAACGUCUGCCACUACUCAGGGGCAGGGGUCGCCCUUGGAGCCUUUAGCACCAUCAUCUCCACAAUCCCUAGCAGCCCCUCCACCCCACUGAAAUAAUCAGCUUUCUGAGUAUGACAGCAUGCCCCUUAGUGUCCCUUCAUGUCCCUUAACCAAUGACUGCCUUAAGGCCCUCCAUUCACACAGCCUGAAGCCACCAGCUUUGCCACUUGGAUUCUGUAUUUUGUUUUUCAUAUAUAGGCACAAUAAAUUUUUUAAAAAAUA